GAUUAAAGUUGGAUCAGAUGCUCUACAGGGUGUAUAAAAAAAACGCAACCUCGGAAUUUCCCAAGAUAUCGACAUUGUUUUAAGGACAAAAGAUUUUAGGUGCCUGGGAAUUUAAAAUAGCACAACUGUCAAAAUUACUGCACACACGAAUGCAUGCAGCAAAAUCUAUGCAUGUAUUUAAUGACAAAGGCCCUGUUACACGGAGCAAUUUUUCAUGCAACUUGUCUCGCAAUGUUUAUAAAAAGAUUUUGACAAUGCAUUGCAAGAGGUGUUACACGCUGCAAUGAUUUUCAUGCAACUCCCAACGAUAGGGGAGAGGCAUGCGAAGAGACUAGG